rnacentral:lncRNA from 1 species
GAUCGUGGAUGGAGUGGUUCAACCAAUUUGCUUGUAUCAUAUGGUUCACUCUAAUUAAUAGAAUAAUGUAUUAAGUGGGAUGGCCUCAUCCUGGAUGAGUUGGUCCAAUUCACCCAACCAAACAAAAGGAUCAUUAUUAUUUUGAAUCAUUUUAUACAUGAAUCAAAUGAUACAACCAACCAAACACAUCCUAAGAGAAUUAGAUUGAUCAUUAGAAGUGAAUUCUAUCUUUAGCAUAAAUAUGCCUUUCCACUAUUUCAUUCGUCGGUUGGAGCAAAACAUUGCAACCAUGAGAGUUACGAUAAUAUACCAUUAGGAAAUGAUAAAUAGCAUGUUAGGGAUCUCAUGGGGAAGCAGUGUCGACAAGUGACCUAUUCUCUCCGUCCCAUAAAAAAUACAAUCCUAACUUUUGAAAUAAACCCUACAAAGAGUAGAAUCUGAGGAGUUGGACCACAACAACAUGUGAAAUGAAGUGGUCAAGUAUGAUUUUCAAAAUUAACUUUCGGCCAUAAUUUUAGAAAGUCUGGUUAGUUGCAUGCAUAACAUAGAAAGUCUUUCUAUGCCACCAUUAAUCCAUAUGAAAAACUAGCAUUGUAUUUUUUUGAAACGGAGGGAGUAGUUACACUUCAGAGACCGCAUCUGCAAUUGCUGGGAGAUGAGGGGAUCAUCAUUUUGGUGCGCUAGGUGGCAUGAGGUGGUAGUAUCGGGUGAAUGGCAGAAGGGAUGGGAUUGCGGCAUCGUAAUGAUGGAGGGUGGUGCUGUUUCCAUGGUGGAUGCGUCGAGCAUACGCACAGGUUAUGCGUGGUUCAUGGAUGAAUGCGUAUGUUUUCUCUUUUUUUCAGCAACGGUAAUGGGCCAGAACAGGAUUAACAAGGGGACAGUGGUCAUUUCUUAAUUCCCCCAUCUCAUUACCGAGAAAACUACUAUAUAUUUUAACAGCCAAAGUGUCGAGCAGCUAAUACCACAUUUUAGGGGUGGUGCACGGGCAAAGACCGCAUGGAGUGG